rnacentral:rRNA from 1 species
UACGAAGGGGGCUAGCGUUGCUCGGAAUGACUGGGCGUAAAGGGCGCGUAGGCGGCGAUCACAGUCAGAUGUGAAAUUCCUGGGCUUAACCUGGGGGCUGCAUUUGAUACGUGGUUGCUUGAGUGGGGAAGAGGGUCGUGGAAUUCCCAGUGUAGAGGUGAAAUUUGUAGAUAUUGGGAAGAACACCGGUGGCGAAGGCGGCGACCUGGUCCUUGACUGACGCUGAGGCGCGAAAGCGUGGGGAGCGAACAGG